GGUCCCUAUGUAGAGUGCACCAAGACCACAAAGCAGCAGUACUUACGUUCUGACUCCUCAAAGCAGCCAAUACUCUGGCCAGGGCUCCCGGCCUCAAAGUGUUUCCUACACCCUGACUCCCCAGAGCAGCCAAUACUCUGGCCAGGU